rnacentral:rRNA from 1 species
AUACGGAGGGUGCAAGCGUUAUUCGGAAUCACUGGGCGUAAAGGACGCGUAGGCGGGUUGGCAAGUCAGAUGUGAAAUCCUACAGCUUAACUGUAGAACUGCAUUUGAAACUGCUAACCUAGAGUAUGGGAGGGGGAGAUGGAAUUAGUGGUGUAGGGGUAAAAUCCGUAGAUAUCACUAGGAAUACCGAAAGCGAAGGCGAUCUCCUGGAACAUAACUGACGCUAAGGCGUGAAAGCGUGGGGAGCAACCAGGAUUAGAAACCCUAGUAGUCC